rnacentral:rRNA from 1 species
GAUGAACGCUGACAGAAUGCUUAACACAUGCAAGUCUUUGGCAAAGCUGUGCUCGCACAGCCUAGCCAAGGCGGACGGGUGAGUAACGCGUAAGGAACUUGCCCUGCAGUCAGGGAUAACAGACGGAAACGACUGAUAAGACCUGGUAAAGUCAGGCGGACUCAUGUCCAGCCUGAUGAAAAGAGAUGCUGCAGGAGAGCCUUGCGUCCUAUUAGCUUGUUGGUGGGGUAACGGCCCACCAAGGCGAUGAUAGGUAGCCGGCCUGAGAGGAUGGACGGCCACAAGGGGACGGAGAUACGGCCCUUACUCCUACGGGAGGCAGCAGUGGUGAAGAUUGGACCAUGGGGGCAACCCUGAUCCAGCAAUUCUGUGUGCACGAUGAAGGUUUUCGGAUUGUAAAGUGCUUUCAGCAGGGAAGAAAAAAAUGACGGUACCUGCAGAAGAAGCGACGGCUAAAUACGUG